GCGGGUGUAGCUCAGCGGUAGAGCACGACCUUGCCAAGGUCGGGGUCGUGGGUUCGAUCCCCAUCGCCCGCUCCA
rnacentral:tRNA from 1 species